UACGAAGGGGGCUAGCGUUGCUCGGAAUCACUGGGCGUAAAGCGCACGUAGGCGGAUUGUUAAGUCAGGGGUGAAAUCCUGGGGCUCAACUCCAGAACUGCCUUUGAUACUGGCGAUCUCGAGUCCGGGAGAGGUGAGUGGAACUGCGAGUGUAGAGGUGAAAUUCGUAGAUAUUCGCAAGAACACCAGUGGCGAAGGCGGCUCACUGGCCCGGUACUGACGCUGAGGUGCGAAAGCGUGGGGAGCAAACAGG
rnacentral:rRNA from 1 species